CACUGACGGACGGAUGUGAGUAACGGCGUUUUAUGUCCCUAGCGUUUCUGUUUUGCUCCUGUCAGGCUGUUAGCUAAUCCGCCUGGUUCCGUUUAGUUUCAAUAUUUAGUUAUUUGUUUUUGAGUGUAUUGUCUUCCUGUUAAAUUAUAUACCAACAUUUCCUAAUGCGAGUGGUCAAUGCGAGUGCGCAUUAACCAUAGCUGGCGAUGGCGAUGCUAGCAAGCUAAAGCUAGCUGCAUUUAUUUGACACACAGGUGACAAAAUAACAACAACGGAUAUUGUCCAAAGAAUCUCUGUGCUGCAGGACCAGGGUGAGGAUGUUCUCAGUUUCACACAAGACGGCCUUUGUGGUCGACCACUGCCCGUACAUGGCAGACUCCUGCCGGCAGCUGAUUGAGUGUGACAUGCUGACCAAAAGUCGCUCGCAGGGGGUGAUUCCUCUGGCUCCAGUGUCCAAAUCUCUCUGGACGUGUGCCAUCGAGUGCUCCAUGGAGUACUGCCGCAUCCUGUUCGACGUGUACCCCACCUGGAAACUGGUGAACUACAUCGUGAGCGAUUCUGAGGUUCACAUCUUGAACAGCUGGAAGCAGGAGGAACAGAACACACAUGAGCUGAUGUCAGCUCUGGCAGCUGUUGGGCCUCCAAACCCUCGUCAGGAUCCUGAAUGCUGCAGCGUCCUGCACGGGCUGGUGGCAGCUGUGGAGUCACUGUGCAAGAUCACAGAAUAUCAGCAUGAGUCUCGUACCACUCUGAUGGACACAGCUGACAGAGUGGCCAACAGGGGGCGCAUCAUUUGUCUCACCAAUGCUAAAAGUGACACUCAUGUCAGAAUGCUGGAGGACUGUGUGCUGGAAACCAUUCAGGAGCAAAACAAACGGGCAGCAGGAUCUGACAGACUGAUGCCAAUUCAGCAGUGUGAGCUUGUGCUGGUCCACAUCUAUCCUCAAGGUGAAGAGACUCUGGUCUCAGAUCGGCAAAAGAAAGAGCUCUCGUCGGUGUUGAGCAGCGAGGUUCACAGUGUGCGAGCUGGACGGUAUCUAGCCACUAAACUGAAUGUGCUGGUUCAGCAGCACUUUGAUUUGGCCUCCACCACCAUCACAAACAUCCCCAUGAAGGAGGAACAGCAUGCUAACACUUCAGCAAAUUACGACGUUGAGCUUCUUCACCAUCGAGAUGCUCAUAUGGAAUUUAUUAAGAGUGGUGAUUUGCACAUGGCCGGCAGCACCAGCAGAGACAGUGGGCUGAAGGAAACUGUCACACUCAAAUGGUGCACUCCACGCACCAACAGUGUAGAACUGCAUUACUGCACAGGGGCCUAUCGCAUUUCUCCAGUAGACGUUAACAGCAGGCCAUCUUCCUGCCUUACCAAUUUCCUGUUGAAUGGUCGCUCUGUGCUGCUAGAGCAGCCUCGCAAGUCAGGGUCAAAGGUCAUCAGUCACAUGUUGAGCAGCCAUGGAGGAGAAAUCUUUCUGCAUGUUCUGAACAGCACACGCUCCACACUGGAGGAUCCACCCUCCAUCAGCGAGGGCUGCGGUGGACGAGUGACGGAUUACCGCAUCACUGACUUCGGUGAGUUUAUGCGUGAGAAUCGUCUGACUCCAUUCCCAGACUCCAUGAUAGAUGCAGCAGGCAGAACUCCAAUCGAGAGAGCCAAAUCUCAACUCGAGCGAUACACACGAUACUGGCCGAUGAUCAUCUCCCAGACCACCAUCUUCAACAUGCAGGCGGUGGUACCAUUAGCUAACCUCAUAGUGAAGGACACUCUAACAGAUGAAGAUGUGCUGACCUGUCAGAAAACUGUCUAUAAUCUUGUUGAUAUGGAGAGGAAGAGUGACCCUCUGCCCAUCUCAACUGUAGGCUCCAGAGGAAAAGGACCCAAACGUGACGAGCAGUAUCGCAUCAUGUGGAAUGAGUUGGAGACGUUGGUAAAGGCGCACGUGGGAACCAGUGAGCGGCACCAGCGAGUGCUUGACUGUAUCGGUGCUUGCCGGAGCAAACCACCCGAGGAGGAGGAAAGGAAAAAAAGAGGAAGAAAGAGAGAGGACAAAGAGGACAAAACUGAGAAAAAUGGCAAGGACACAGAGGAAAAGGGCUGGACCACAGACUCCGAGAGGCUGAAAGGAGUAAUGGAACGAGAGAAGGACGAACCGAGUGAAUGUGAGAUCAUCAAAGAUUCACCAGAUUCUCCGGAGCCCCUGAACAAGAAACCUCGCUUAGCUACAGAAGAGCAACAGCCUCCAGAGAAAUCGAAAGAAUAAGGAAUAAGUGUUUGGACUCUACCAACUUCCAAGACAUGUGGACUGACAUUAGCCAUAAUGAGGGACAUCUGCUUAUGAACAGACUAAGGGAUAAGCUUGGACUGUGCAGAGUUCUCGGAAACUUGCCUUGAGUGACAUCUGCUCAUGGACAGAAUAAGGCAUGUGGUUGGACUGUACAGAGUUCUGGGACAUACGGUCAUUCACCAUAAUGAUGGACAACUCCUCAUGGACAGCUAAUAAUUUCUUUUCAGUCUGGUCAAAAGCAUAACCCCUGCUGGACAUUGUGCCGGAAGCUCCAGGGGGAGACCGUACUGGUAUCCCCCUCCUUUGGGUGCACCCUUCACUCACACACACACUACUCAUUCAUAUCACAGAGAUCUGACUGGGAUUGAACCAGCAACCUCUGAACCCAUGAGGCAGUGCUCAUACCAGUGAGCCACAGAUCUCUUGUCUGGAGAUGUGAAGAAACUUAUACUUCACUGUUCACCUGUGUGUUUUAUAUAAAGUAUCAGAUAAAGGCUUUAAAGCUGUGGUGUAGUGUCCAACACACUGAGGGGGGAUUUGAACCCAUGACUCCAGUGCAUCCACGUGUGUGAUUAACAUGUGUUCAGCCACUAGCACCACUUUGGUUUUCACAAUGUGGGCUGCUGUUUGAGGCACUUUGUUGGAUGCAAUAUGUGAGAUUUUUAACAUAAGCAGCAGUGGGAUUUGAACUCAGGACUUUACAAAUGAAAGGCAACAAUUUACCCACUAAACCAUCAAAUCUUAGCAGGUACUUAUGUUAUUUGGAAAUAUGAUUUUUUUUAAAAACAAGCCGUAAUAUAAGAAUAAUAAAUAAUGUAACAGAACAAGCCCAACUCUUUGAUUUGAACCAAUAGUUUUAUGUACAAAAGCCAAAUAAAUAUCCUCUGAUCCACAAAUGUCA